UACGUAGGUGACAAGCGUUGUCCGGAUUUACUGGGCGUAAAGAGCGCGCAGGCGGUCGAUCAAGUCGAGUGUGAAAGACCCCGGCUCAACUGGGGAGGGUCGUGCGAUACGGGCGGACUGGAGGCCAGUAGGGGGAUGCGGAAUUCCGGGUGUAGUGGUGGAAUGCGUAGAGAUCCGGAGGAACACCAGCGGCGAAGGCGGCAUCCUGGACUGGUCCUGACACUCAGGAGCGAAAGCGUGGGGAGCGAUCCGG
rnacentral:rRNA from 1 species